AUUACCACAUUUUUAUCUGCAAUUCAUUAUGGAAAAUGAAAUUCUUGAUGGAAAAGAAAAGAGUUUCCUAUUAUUUAUGCAAUAUGAAAAGCAUGGAAACUGUAUGCCACGAGAAGAAAUUUAGUUAAGCUAAUGAUCAUAUGGCCUUCAGAGUUUUUGCUCAUUCUGGAAACUGAUGUAAAAAUUAACAUGAUUACUUCAGCGAUAUUACAUCCCAACAGCAAGAGAACUGGCUCGCUUAGCAGGAAUACAGAGAGCUCCAAUUCUUCACCACUUUGCAGAAUCAUUAGCAGGUGCUGCAACAAUUCGUGCUUUUAAUCAAGAAGAUCGUUUUAUUGAAGCAAACCUUGACCUUAUAGACAGCCACUCAAGGCCUUGGUUUCAUAAUAUGUCAGCCAUGGAAUGGCUUUCUUUCAGAUUGAAUUUACUGUCCAAUUUUGUAUUUGCCUUCUCACUGGUCUUGCUGGUGACCCUUCCUGAAGGAAUAAUCAACCCAAGUAAGCACGUGAAUAUAUAAGCUCAGAUUGCUUUAUUUCCAUGAUAUCAAAACCGGUAUCAUGAUAUUAAAUUAUUUGUCUUCAGUGAUUAGGAUAGAAGAGCAAUCAAUGAUGUAGUAGACAGGUAAAGAAACAAGAAAGCAUGAGUUCUGAUCUAAAACUGGAUAAUUUCAUUGCAGGCAUUGCAGGAUUGGCAGUAACAUAUGGGAUAAAUUUGAAUGUUUUACAAGCUUCAGUCAUAUGGAGCAUGUGCAAUGCAGAAAACCAAAUGAUUUCUGUAGAAAGAAUUCUUCAGUACUCAAAUAUAACAAGUGAAGCACCCCUUGUGGUUGAAGAGUGCAGACCUUCAGACAACUGGCCAGAAGUAGGAACAAUAUCCUUUAAAGAUUUGGAGGUAAGAACCUUCUGGAAGGUUUUAGCAGUUUAAAGAGAGAAUUAGUUCGGAAACUGUGAUUUCUAGUCUAAAGAGUCAAGAAAUUCCAAUUAAAUCAUCAAAAUUUGAAAUUUUGCCUUAGCGGGCGUUAAUAAAUUCCCACUUCCACAACAAAACACCUAGCCAAAAGUAUUAGGACUUUCAACAGAGCCCCUCACCAAUCACGGAAAGGCUCUGAUCAAGUUCAUCAAAUAUUUGCUCUCAUAAGUCACGCGUAGCAUCUUUUGCAGGCAUCUACAGACCAAAGUGUUCUAGACUUGGAAAUGGCACACAGACUAGGUUGGUGUGCUUUCUCAGUAAUACAGAUUCUAGGGACCAUAGCAGUAAUGUCCCAGGUUGCAUGGGAAGUAUUUGUAAUCUUCAUUCCAGUAUCUGCAAUCUGCAUAUGGUACCAAGUAAGCAUUUCUUUUCCCUUUGAUAAAUGAUAUAUCCAGAGCUGAUUACUCAAUUGCAUAUUGACAGUAAACUUUUUCUUACUAUUACCACAUUUUUAUCUGCAAUUCAUUAUGGAAAAUGAAAUUCUUGAUGGAAAAGAAAAGAGUUUCCUAUUAUUUAUGCAAUAUGAAAAGCAUGGAAACUGUAUGCCACGAGAAGAAAUUUAGUUAAGCUAAUGAUCAUAUGGCCUUCAGAGUUUUUGCUCAUUCUGGAAACUGAUGUAAAAAUUAACAUGAUUACUUCAGCGAUAUUACAUCCCAACAGCAAGAGAACUGGCUCGCUUAGCAGGAAUACAGAGAGCUCCAAUUCUUCACCACUUUGCAGAAUCAUUAGCAGGUGCUGCAACAAUUCGUGCUUUUAAUCAAGAAGAUCGUUUUAUUGAAGCAAACCUUGACCUUAUAGACAGCCACUCAAGGCCUUGGUUUCAUAAUAUGUCAGCCAUGGAAUGGCUUUCUUUCAGAUUGAAUUUACUGUCCAAUUUUGUAUUUGCCUUCUCACUGGUCUUGCUGGUGACCCUUCCUGAAGGAAUAAUCAACCCAAGUAAGCACGUGAAUAUAUAAGCUCAGAUUGCUUUAUUUCCAUGAUAUCAAAACCGGUAUCAUGAUAUUAAAUUAUUUGUCUUCAGUGAUUAGGAUAGAAGAGCAAUCAAUGAUGUAGUAGACAGGUAAAGAAACAAGAAAGCAUGAGUUCUGAUCUAAAACUGGAUAAUUUCAUUGCAGGCAUUGCAGGAUUGGCAGUAACAUAUGGGAUAAAUUUGAAUGUUUUACAAGCUUCAGUCAUAUGGAGCAUGUGCAAUGCAGAAAACCAAAUGAUUUCUGUAGAAAGAAUUCUUCAGUACUCAAAUAUAACAAGUGAAGCACCCCUUGUGGUUGAAGAGUGCAGACCUUCAGACAACUGGCCAGAAGUAGGAACAAUAUCCUUUAAAGAUUUGGAGGUAAGAACCUUCUGGAAGGUUUUAGCAGUUUAAAGAGAGAAUUAGUUCGGAAACUGUGAUUUCUAGUCUAAAGAGUCAAGAAAUUCCAAUUAAAUCAUCAAAAUUUGAAAUUUAAUGAAAAAAGAAAUGAAAUUACAACUGCUGCUAUAAAAAAUCAGUUGUUCUCAACAGCUAAAUUUUAUUAUCAGUUAUAAACAGUGUGUUCUAUUUUCUCAAUGCAAGUGGAAUUUUGUUGCAGGUUCGUUAUGCAGAACAUCUGCCAUCUGUCUUGAAGCACAUUAGCUGCACAUUUCCAGGAAGGAAAAAAGUUGGUGUUGUGGGUAGGACAGGGAGUGGGAAAUCAACCCUCAUACAGGCCAUUUUCAGAAUUGUUGAAGCCAGAGAGGGAAGCAUUACAAUCGAUGAUGUGGACGUUUCCAAGAUAGGCCUUCAUGACUUAAGAUCAAGGCUUAGCAUCAUCCCACAGGACCCAACAAUGUUUGAAGGAACAGUGAGAGGCAACCUUGAUCCACUAGGGCAAUACUCUGACAAUGUAGUAUGGGAGGUAAUUAUUGAUGUAGCUAAGAAUGCAUUCCUAUAUCAAUGUGUGAGAAGAAAUCUGAACUCAAAGACAAUGUUAAAUUUUUCAAAAACAAGAUUGAUUUCAAGUUUAAUCUGACAUGCUAAUUUCUUGAUGGAAAUAAUUCAGGCUUUAGAUAAGUGUCAACUGGGUGAUUUGGUACGUUCAAAACAUGAAAAGUUGGAUGCCACAGGUAUAAUUCAUCUGUUUGGAUCUUUUAUAUGUAGUUGAUUUGUAUAAGCUUUUCCAAUAAAUAAAUAAAAGAGGAACAUGGGAGGCAAUGACAGUGAUUGAAAAUGGAGAAAACUGGAGUGCGGGGCAGAGACAGUUAUUCUGUCUGGGAAGAGCCCUACUAAAGAAAAGCAGCAUCCUUGUGCUGGAUGAAGCAACAGCAUCAGUCGAUUCAGCAACAGAUGGGGUGAUACAGAAGAUCAUUAGCCAAGAGUUCAAAGAUAGGACAGUGGUGACAAUAGCUCACAGAAUCCACACGGUUAUAGACAGUGAUCUUAUUUUGGUCCUUAGUGAUGGUAAGCCCAUAAUUCAGAAAUAUAAAUUUUGAAAUAAUGAACUCAGAGCUUAUAUAACACGUAAAAGAUUUUGGUGUCAAACAGGAAGGAUUGCGGAGUAUGACACGCCGGUAAAACUGCUAGAAAGAGAGGAUUCUUUCUUCUCAAAACUUAUAAAAGAAUACUCGAUGAGGUCACAGAAUUUCAACAACUGAACCAAAAUGAAAAAGAAAUGUGUUGAUAGCAGACACAAAGAGAGUAGAGCAAGUUGAUUGAAAUGCGUUAAUUUAACCGGUUAGAGGAGCAGCAAGUACAGUAGCAGGCCUAGUAAUCGACUUAAAGUGGUCGUAAGGAGAAGAAAGGAGUGAAUUUGUACUGCAAAAUAAAAUGAAGAUAGUGAAACCCUGAUAGUCCCUCUUCCAGUUCCUGAGAAUCAAUAAAAAUAAAUGAUCCAACCUUACACAGGGAUAAAGUAGUUUAUGUAAUCCUUAUCAUUUUGGCCCAGAAUGAUAAAAUAAAAAUUUUUAAUUUUUCUGGAAAUGCUUGACUUGUUUUCUGAAUUAAACUUUCUAACAGUCCGCUGUGGAUAUUGAUUCUAAAAUAAUUAAUUAAGCUCAAUAACAAAAUCUCUAUCCAAAGGAGAUAUGAAAAACCAAGGGAUUUGUAUGACCCAAAUUAUUACCUUAUUACUGGAAUGAAUUAUUUGUAAGUGCCGUCAAAAUCUUUCUUCGUCUUCUCCUUCUUUGUUUGGCCGACUCCAGGUAUGGUUUAUAGAGGUUUUCUUUUUUGGGCUUAAAAUGUGGGUCGGGCUUGACCAUUUAUUU
rnacentral:lncRNA from 1 species